UGGGGAAUAUUGCACAAUGGGCGCAAGCCUGAUGCAGCCAUGCCGCGUGUGUGAAGAAGGCCUUCGGGUUGUAAAGCACUUUCAGCGGGGAGGAAGGCGUUAAGGUUAAUAACCUUGGCGAUUGACGUUACCCGCAGAAGAAGCACCGGCUAACUCCGUGCCAGCAGCCGCGGUAAUACGGAGGGUGCAAGCGUUAAUCGGAAUUACUGGGCGUAAAGCGCACGCAGGCGGUUGAUUGAGUCAGAUGUUAAAUCCCCGGGCUCAACCUGGGAACUGCAUCUGAUACUGGCAAGCUUGAGUCUCGUAGAGGGGGGUAGAAUUCCAGGUGUAGCGGUGAAAUGCGUAGAGAUCUGGAGGAAUACCGGUGGCGAAGGCGGCACCCUGGACGAAGACUGACGCUCAGGUGCGAAAGCGUGGGGAGCAAACAGG
rnacentral:rRNA from 1 species